GACGAACGCUGGCGGCGUGCUUAACACAUGCAAGUCGAACGGAAAGGCCCUGCUUUUGUGGGGUUCUCGAGUGGCGAACGGGUGAGUAACACGUGAGUAACCUGCCCUUGACUUUGGGAUAACUUCAGGAAACGGGGGCUAAUACCGGAUAGGAGCUCCUGCUGCAUGGUGGGGGUUGGAAAGUUUCGGCGGUUGGGGAUGGACGCGCGGCUUAUCAGCUUGUUGGUGGGGUAGUGGCUUACCAAGGCUUUGACGGGUAGCCGGCCUGAGAGGGUGACCGGCGACAUUGGGACUGAGAGACGGCCCAGACUCCUACGGGAGGCAGCAGUGGGGAAUAUUGCACAAUGGGCGGAAGCCUGAUGCAGCAACGCUGCGUGCGGGAUGACGGCCUUCGGGUUGUAAACCGCUUUCGCCUGUGACGAAGCGUGAGUGACGGUAAUGGGUAAAGAAGCACCGGCUAACUACGUG
rnacentral:rRNA from 1 species